rnacentral:rRNA from 1 species
CCUACGGGCGGCAGCAGUGAGGAAUAUUGGUCAAUGGACGAGAGUCUGAACCAGCCAAGUAGCGUGAAGGAUGACUGCCCUAUGGGUUGUAAACUUCUUUUAUAAAGGAAUAAAACGAGGCACGUGUGCCUUUUUGCAUGUACUUUAUGAAUAAGGAUCGGCUAACUCCGUGCCAGCAGCCGCGGUAAUACGGAGGAUCCGAGCGUUAUCCGGAUUUAGUGGGUUUAAAGGGAGCGUAGGUGGAUUGUUAAGUCAGUUGUGAAAGUUUGCGGCUCAACCGUAAAAUUGCAGUUGAAACUGGCAGUCUUGAGUACAGUAGAGGUGGGCGGAAUUCGUGGUGUAGCGGUGAAAUGCUUAGAUAUCACGAAGAACUCCGAUUGCGAAGGCAGCUCACUGGACUGCAACUGACACUGAGGCUCGAAAGUGUGGGUAGCAAACAGGAUUAGAUACCCGGGUAGUC